rnacentral:rRNA from 1 species
UCUUUUAAGACCUAGUAAUAGGUAUGCUUUAGGAGGGGCUUGCGCCAUAUUAGUUAGUUGGUAGGGUAAUGGCCUACCAAGACGAUGAUGUGUAGCUGGACUGAGAGGUUGAACAGCCACAUUGGGACUGAGACACGGCCCAAACUCCUACGGGAGGCAGCAGUAGGGAAUUUUCGGCAAUGGAGGAAACUCUGACCGAGCAACGCCGCGUGAAUGACGAAGUACUUCGGUAUGUAAAGUUCUUUUAUCAAGGAAGAAAAGCAAAUGGCGAACCAUUUGUUUGCCGGUACUUGAUGAAUAAGCCCCGGCUAAUUAUGUGCCAGCAGCCGCGGUAAGACAUAAGGGGCAAGUGUUAUCCGGAAUUAUUGGGCGUAAAGGGUGCGUAGGCGGUCUAGUAAGUCAGUGGUGUAAUGGCAACGCUUAACGUUGUCCGGCUAUUGAAACUGCUAAACUUGAGUUAGAUAGAGGCGAGUGGAAUUCCAUGUGUAGCGGUAAAAUGCGUAAAUAUAUGGAGGAACACCAGAGGCGUAGGCGGCUCGCUGGGUCUUAACUGACGCUGAGGCACGAAAGCGUGGGGAGCAAACAGGAUUAGAUACCCUGGUAGUCCACGCCGUAAACGAUGAGUACUAAGUGUCGGGUUAAACCGGUACUGAAGUUAACACAUUAAGUACUCCGCCUGAGUAGUACGUACGCCAGUAUGAAACUUAAAGGAAUUGACGGGACUCCGCACAAGCGGUGGAUCAUGUUGUUUAUUU